rnacentral:rRNA from 1 species
UACGUAGGGUGCAAGCGUUGUCCGGAAUUAUUGGGCGUAAAGAGCUCGUAGGCGGUCUGUCGCGUCGGCUGUGAAAACCCGGGGCUCAACCCCGGGCCUGCAGUCGAUACGGGCAGACUAGAGUGCGGUAGGGGAGACUGGAAUUCCUGGUGUAGCGGUGAAAUGCGCAGAUAUCUGGAGGAACACCGGUGGCGAAGGCGGCAUCCUGGACCGGCAUUGACGCUGAUGAGCGAAAGCCAGGGGAGCAAACGGG